rnacentral:tRNA from 1 species
AAAGACUUAGGUUAAAUCCGAGACCAAGGGCCUUCAAAGCCCUAAGCAGGAGUUAAAAUCUCCUAGUCUUUG